CCCAAAUGAAACUCAUUCUUUAUGCCACUACCAAAUUAGUGUUGCUGAAACAGAGAUCUAGUCAUUUCCCUGCAGCUUAGACUGUUUGAGAGCUGCCUGUGGGUAGAGAGAGGUUAAAUGGUUUGCCAAGGACCACACAUACAGAUAUUAUGUCAAGAGGUGGGCAGGGAUCACAGUCUUUCUAGCCAGAACUCCCUGUCAUCUACACCAAGUUGCUCUAGAGGUGACACCCCCUAAACACCCUCUUUUGGACCAAUAGAAUCUUUAGAGAAAGCGGAUGCCACAGGUGAAGAAGACCUUUGAUAGACUGGAGAGGACCUGAGGAAGGAAACCAGGAUGGUCUUCCUGACUCCAUUGUGUCACCUAGUGUGGAAGAGGCAUGAAGGAAGAAAGAAUUUUCAUGCAUGCAAGACAGAAAGCUGGGGACAUCAUCUGUCAAUCAAGGUGAACAUUCAAAAUAGAAUGUUCCCAGGAAAGUCAGUUGGAACCUAGCCAGGAGAUGAACUGAGAGACUGCCUUGGCUUCUGACCAAGGGAGAGACUGGCUUUUUAUGACUAGGCUGAGGCUUUGGUGUGGCUGAUGUUGGUGAUUGAGCAUUAUAUACUGGGCUGAUUAG
rnacentral:lncRNA from 1 species